ACCAGCGUGGCAUAGUGGUUGUAGUGUUGGACUUUGACUCUGGAGACCAGGGUUCGGUUCCCAGCUCAGCCA